AGUAUUAUGUUAUCCUCUUCAUUCAAAUAAUAUGUAAACUCUUCUCGAAUGUAAAACGAACGAUCUACUCUGAUAAGUAACCCAAAUAUGGCACUAUGUAUUCGGUUGAAUAGCCAAUCAUUUCAAAUCAAGUGGAGCGGGUCUGCAUCGCUAUUUUGACGAAGUUUGCAACCUGUGGUAAUUUUUUGAAACCUCAUCUAGAUUUAAGGAGAUUCUUGUCUUGACAACUGCUCGAACUCCCGGAUUGGCAUGCACUGCAGGUUGAGUGAAAUCAGUAUGCAGAUUGUGAAGGGAAAACAUCAAGACGGGGCAAGGAAGAUGACAAAACAUGAUUGAGGAUCCCAAAGUUCUUUGGCUCAAGCUACUCAGCCUACCAUGAGAAAAUUAAAAGAUCUGCCAUGAAGAAGAGGCGGGUUCUCAAGUUUCAUAUUAUAGAUGGCAAGUAUUGUUUAGAUUUAAUUUAAAAGUAUUCUUGAUAAAGAAAGGGUGUUUGGCUGUUCAUGGCUAUUAACUGUGAUUGCAUUGUGUAUGAAUUUUCAAAAUCAAUUCAUUCUUUGGUGACCGUGUGCUUCAAACUCAUAAUUUUUGAUAAAAAUACUGACUAUAUAUUUGUCCAGGUAUAUAAAAUGUUAAUCACUGUAUGAAUUCUA